AUAGUUAUUAAUCAUUUCAUGUUACUCUAUUUUCUUCAUGAAGUGACUCGCUUCAUUAGGGUUUACUAAUCAUUACCUUAGCUUCCCUGGUUACUAAUUUUUUCCUAUUUGUCCAACCACUCCAUUGAGGUAUGUGAGAUUAUGGUCUCAGAAUGAGACUUCACAUAUACACACAAAAGUUAACAUUUAACCAUGAUGUAAUUAAAGUUUCUUAAGGAGAAUUUUGUUCUAAGUUCACCACAGAAUUAUAAGGCUUUUUAUGUGUACAUGAUAUUACUACUCACUCCUCCUGAAAUAGAGUUUUCUGAAUUUUGUGAAAUUUUUCCUCCCUAAGGUGUUUAAGGUAGAUGUGGAAAGAAGUGUGGAAGGAAGGAUCUCUGUGAAAGUAAAAGUUAAAGAGGAACCAAUUACAGAACUGAUUUGUAGUGGACUCCAAACUCGUAGUAUUUCUUGAGUUCUUUGUUCAUAUUAUGAUGUCACACACCAAAACACCUUCAAAGUUGCAGUAUUCAGACAUACAUCAAUUUCUGGGUGCUGAAGCAUCUCAUCUCUUCAGGACCAUAGUCAUCACAGCCCUCACCACUGCCUCCCUAACUGAGAACACACUGGCUUCUUCUGCCUUCCAGCUUCAUCAUCAGUCAUAUGGAGAACACCUAUUCUGCCUCCUGGACAGGGUGGCUGUGAAGAUUAAAUGAAACUUCAGGGAGGACACAUUUAUGAAAGACUGCUCAUCGGGAAGCAAUCUGGUUUUCUAGGCCUGUGCUCUGUGGUGUGUGUCCUAGGUGUGUCAGCAUCACCCUCAAUGCCCCACUGCCUUUAUAUAAGUCAUUGAAAGAACUCAGGGCAAAAGAGAGUACAAUCCCUGGUAUAGAUCAGACAACGGUGAGUAAAUAAAUUAGCAAAGAAACAAAUGAUUCAAAUUGGCAUAUUUUUUUCCAGAAAUAUUAAGUGUGUGAAGAUUGAAUUAUACAUGGCACUCUAACUUCCACUAAUAUUACUGAUAUUAAUUAGUCAGGUUAAUUAAUAUGGACUUCCACUGAUUAUACUGAUAUCAACUAUGGACUUCACCUUCAUUGUCCACAAGAGCUGAUGACAUUUCUGAUCCUCCUUUACUACUGCUUCUGUCUUUGUUUCCACCACUUCCCCUCCACAUCUGAGCAAUCACCUUUGCUUGUUUUCCCCUUCUCUCUGCCGGUUUCUUAUCUUGUUGGACCCUUGUCAUGCCGUCAGAGAUUCUUGGCUUCUACAUGAGAACACUGACCUUUUAUGUACAUCAUUAUCAAGCCUGAAGAUUACUUCCCUCUUGUUGGUGAAUUAAUCAAUCACAGCUCAUCUUCUGUAACCUUCGUGUCUUUGGCUCCUCCUAACUACAGUCAGAAUGCCCAGUCUAUUGCCCUUUUUUCUUUUCUAACAGACAACUAUCCUAGUGCUUGAACACUAGACCCUGGCUAACAAAAGUUAUGGUGUAUGCUAUGAAGCCCAUCUACUGGAAAUCACUUUUCCAACUCACACACAAGACAGUUCCUGUAUGGAUUCAAAUGACAAGGGAGUACACAGUUUAGUGACCAAGUUAACUUGAUUGUAAUAGAUUUUCUUUUCUUUUCUUAUUUUUAUUUAUUUUUAUUUUUUCGACAGGCAGAGUGGACAGUGAGAGAGAGAGACAGAGAGAAAGGUCUUUUGCCAUUGGUUCACCCUCCAAUGGCCGCCACGGCCGCCACGCUGCAGCUGGCGCACAUGCUGAUCCGAAGGCAGGAGCCAGGUACUUAUCCUGGUCUCCCAUGGGGUGCAUGGCCCAAGCACUUGGGCCAUCCUCCACUGCACUCCCUGGCCACAGCAGAGAGCUGGCCUGGAAGAGGGGCAACCGGGACAGAAUCUGACGCCCCGACUGGGACUAGAACCUGGUGUGCCGGCACCGCAAGGCGGAGGAUUAGCCUAGUGAGCUGCGGCGCUGGCCGAUUUUCUUUUCUUUUUAAAAUAGAUUUUCUUUUCUUUUUAAAAGACUUUCAUUCAUUUGAAAGGUAGAGUGACAGAGAGAAAGGCAGACAGACAGAAAGAGAUCUUCCAUCUGUUGGUUCCCUCCCCCAAAUGGUCACAACAGCAAGGGCUGGGCCAGGCAGAAGCCAGGAACCAGAAACUCCAUCUGAAGUUCUCACAUGGGUGACAGGGGCCUGAGUACUUGGGCCAUAUUCCACUACUUUCCCAGGCACAUUAGCAGGGAACUGGAUUAGAAGCAGAGAAGCCAGAAGUGAAACAACAGCUCUGAUGCUGGUAUCAUAAGUGGUACCUUAACCCUCUGUACCACAAGACCAGCCCUCAGAUUUUCUCAAACCUUUUGCAACAAGAACAGCAAAAAAUAUUUAAUCAAUUAUCUGCAGCAAUAUAUGGCCAAAAUAUAGUAAGUUUAGGUCCUGAUAUUAAUAAUACUUAAUGUCCAAAGGCUCAAUUUGCUAGAAGAUAAUCCUAAAAAUGUGAUUGCUGAUGGUUGAGAAUUACUAGGCAACUGAAUUACCAACUGGUAUCUUGAAGGAA